rnacentral:rRNA from 1 species
UACGGGGGGGGCAAGCGUUGUUCGGAAUUACUGGGCGUAAAGGGCUCGUAGGCGGCCAACUAAGUCAGACGUGAAAUCCCUCGGCUUAACCGGGGAACUGCGUCUGAUACUGGAUGGCUAGAGUUUGGCAGAGGGGGGUAGAAUUCCACGUGUAGCAGUGAAAUGCGUAGAUAUGUGGAGGAACACCGAUGGCGAAGGCAGCCCCCUGGGUCAAGACUGACGCUCAUGCACGAAAGCGUGGGGAGCAAACAGG